rnacentral:rRNA from 1 species
AGUGAACGCUGGCGGUAGGCCUAACACAUGCAAGUCGAACGGCAGCACAGUAAGAGCUUGCUCUUACGGGUGGCGAGUGGCGGACGGGUGGGGAAUACAUCGGAAUCUACUUUUUCGUGGGGGAUAACGUAGGGAAACUUACGCUAAUACCGCAUACGACCUACGGGUGAAAGCAGGGGAUCUUCGGACCUUGCGCGAUUGAAUGAGCCGAUGUCGGAUUAGCUAGUUGGCGGGGUAAAGGCCCACCAAGGCGACGAUCCGUAGCUGGUCUGAGAGGAUGAUCAGCCACACUGGAACUGGGACACGGUCCAGACUCCUACGGGAGGCAGCAGUGGGGAAUAUUGGACAAUGGGCGCAAGCCUGAUCCAGCCAUACCGCGUGGGUGAAGAAGGCCUUCGGGUUGUAAAGCCCUUUUGUUGGGAAAGAAAAGCAGCAGGUUAAUACCCCGCUGUUCUGACGGUACCCAAAGAAUAAGCACCGGCUAACUUCGUG